rnacentral:rRNA from 1 species
AUGUUCUUUUCCUGUCUCCCGUCUCAGAUUUUUAUCCGUUCUUGUUUCCAGCUUCUUUGUAUCCAUAGCCUAUUAAUUAGUACUACAGUUGUUGCUUGUGAGGGGCCUAGCAACAUUGCUUCAUGCUGGUAUAGUUUCUUUCAUAUUUUCUUUAGUUUGGGGACAACAAUAGUUCUAUGGUCCUGCAUGUAUAAUAGAUGUACCCAUUGUUUCGCUUGCUCUGCUCGGUUGAGUUCUUCUCUAUUUUCCUUUUUAAUUUUUGACCUUUAUGAAAGGAAAGGGACAAGAGGGCAGGCCUGGCGCAGUGGUGAAGUCCUCCCCACUUGUGCCAAGAGGUCCUGGGUUCGAACCAGCCUCUCUGCAUUGCACUUUGCAGGGGUAAGACUAGGUUCCUAUAAUCCCUCCCCAGACCCCACCUUGUGUGGGAGCUUCUAUGCACUGGGUCUGUCCUAUGAAAGGAAAGGGACAAGCGCUUCGCCUAAAACACCUAGCAACUCACUAUUCCCUAAGAGCGCUCGUCGCAAAUUCUUUGCUUCACCUUCCAAGACCAAGGGAGCUGCACUGCCCGAGUCCAUAGUCAUACCUAGACGAGCGUCAGUGAAGAUUUGGGAGGCAGAGAGGGAUUGCUCAAGUGGAAACAGAGCAAGAACCACAAGGAGCUCAAGAUAUGUGCCCGAAUAA